rnacentral:rRNA from 1 species
UACAGAGGGUGCAAGCGUUAAUCGGAAUUACUGGGCGUAAAGGGCGCGUAGGUGGUUACGUAAGUGAGGUGUGAAAUCCCCGGGCUCAACCUGGGAAUGGCAUUUGGGACUGCAAGGCUCGAGUGCGGCAGAGGAGACUGGAAUUCCUGGUGUAGCAGUGAAAUGCGUAGAUAUCAGGAGGAAUACCGAUGGCGAAGGCAGGUCUCUGGGCUGACACUGACGCUCAUGCACGAAAGCGUGGGGAGCAAACAGG